CGCCGCCGCCCCUAGACCCACCCGCGCCCUCCUCUGUUCUUUCCACUUUUCUCUCUCCUCCCUUCCCUCCCCCUCGCUUCUCUCUCCCAGGCAGCCGCCCGACCGGACCGAAGCCGAGCGCCCAGGCGCAGGACCGACGCCGCGCUAGGAACUGCCCCUGCGCGACCCGAAGACCCGACCGCGCGCGACGCCCCGCGCUCCAGCCGACCCCGCGCCGUGCACCCCUAAUUGCAUUCUCGUAGAUCAUAUCGCUUUCGAUCCAAAGGAGACCAACCGCUUUGUUGCUACCGAUUGCUUGGAUGGCAAAGUGACGAUUUGGAGCCUCGACUCUCCCGAACCUGAAUAUCAUCUGCCUGAGACGAAUUUUAAGGGUAUCAUGUUCCUGGAAUUCUUCACACGUUAUUUUCGGCAGUAUUUGACUAUUGCUGAUGAAGAUCACAAAGCACACGUAUGUAUUUUCCUCAAGAAACACACUACUUAUUACUUAUAUUAAGGACCUAUUUGUUUUCUAUCAUAAUUAUAUAAUCCAGCUUAUGAAUUAUAUAAACAUAUAUUGACCUGUCUAUGGAUUAUCGUAAUCUAGACAUCUAGAUUACAUAAUUCAUCUGAUAAUCUAUGUUGUUUAUUUACUUCUCAACUUAUUUAAGUUGAAUUAUAUAAUUUAGAGGGUAUACUAAUAUUGCAAGUUUAUUUGUCUGUGUCAAAUCAGGUAUGGGACUUUAGGUUGCGCAAAUUUGUUUCUGAGAAGCGAAAAUUAUUAUCUCGUGAAGCUUCUGUCUUCUCACGUCCUAAUGUAUCAUUACUACUUACACCUUCAUCUAAAGGCACUUGCCGUUUCUGGGACGCUAAGAAAUUCAGGUAAUAAAUCACGUGAAAGUUGAUCCUCGUCCCACUGUUAACUGUAAUUAGGGUUUUAUAUGCACAUAUCAACUCUUUGUAAGUUAUUCUUUGAGGUCAUGGAUCCAAGUAUAUCACCUGAUAAACUGUGUCAAGUCUUGGAACAGCACAACGUGCUUGCAAUGCCAGCCAAUUUAACACAUCAUCUCUCAUUGUUCUAGUUGAGCAUGAUGAUCUUGGUAGCUGUGUGAGGUUGCUGUUUUUCAUUAGUAGAUCUGUGUACCUUAUCCUUGCUAUACUGUUCAUAUAUGUUGUGUGCAUGAAAGUCUUGCAUUGAAAAUGUCAUGUGCUACAAUCGUUGGGACUAUUAAUAGAUGUUGCUCACUGCUUUCAUUGAAAAUGUCAUGUGCUACAUUGAAAAUGUCAUGUGAAAUGCUCACUGUUUUUCUAUUGGUUUGUGUGCAGUUCAAACUCUGUAAGGUGAGGUCUGUUCAGUUUGGCCAAAAAGGCAUCCCCUACCUAAACACCUACGACGGCCGCACCAUCCGCUACCCCGACCCGCUCAUCAAGGCUAACGACACCAUCAAGAUCGAUCUGGAGACCAACAAGAUCAUGGACUUCAUCAAGUUUGACGUCGGCAACGUGGUCAUGGUGACUGGCGGGAGGAACACCAGGCGUGUAGGAGUCAU